UACGUAGGGGGCAAGCGUUAUCCGGAUUUACUGGGUGUAAAGGGUGCGUAGGUGGUGUGGCAAGUCAGAAGUGAAAACGCGGGGCUCAACCCCGCGACUGCUUUUGAAACUGUCAGACUGGAGUACAGGAGAGGCAGGCGGAAUUCCUAGUGUAGCGGUGAAAUGCGUAGAUAUUAGGAGGAACACCAGUGGCGAAGGCGGCCUGCUGGACUGUUACUGACACUGAGGCACGAAAGCGUG
rnacentral:rRNA from 1 species